rnacentral:lncRNA from 1 species
CAUGUGAAGAGUAGUAACCUUUUAAUUGAAGCGACAUGAUGAAAUAUGACAACUUUUAAAUGAAAUAGUAAGACAGAAUGGUGGCAACCUUUCCCUCAUGGCUCCCCACUCCUAUAAAUAGGGGAGAGGAAAAGGGAGGAAGAGACAUUCUAGAUGAGAAAAAAAUAGUGAAAAGCAUAAAGGUGAAGGAAGAAGAGAGAGUAUGAAAUGUGUGAUAUUUGAGAGUAU